GUGCUAACUUCAGUAGCAUAUAUACUAUAAUUAGAAUAAUUCUGAGAAGAUUAAUAUGGCCUCUGCACAAGGAUGAUACACUAAUUCAUGCAGCAUUUCAUAAUUUG
ensembl:snRNA U6 U6 spliceosomal RNA